rnacentral:rRNA from 1 species
AUUGAACGCUGGCGGCAGGCCUAACACAUGCAAGUCGAGCGGAUGAAGGGAGCUUGCUCCUGGAUUCAGCGGCGGACGGGUGAGUAAUGCCUAGGAAUCUGCCUGGUAGUGGGGGAUAACGUCCGGAAACGGGCGCUAAUACCGCAUACGUCCUGAGGGAGAAAGUGGGGGAUCUUCGGACCUCACGCUAUCAGAUGAGCCUAGGUCGGAUUAGCUAGUUGGUGGGGUAAAGGCCUACCAAGGCGACGAUCCGUAACUGGUCUGAGGGGAUGAUCAGUCACACUGGAACUGAGACACGGUCCAGACUCCUACAGGAGGCAGCAGUGGGGAAUAUUGGACAAUGGGCGAAAGCCUGAUCCAGCCAUGCCGCGUGUGUGAAGAAGGUCUUCGGAUUGUAAAGCACUUUAAGUUGGGAGGAAGGGCAGUAAGUUAAUACCUUGCUGUUUUGACGUUACCAACAGAAUAAGCACCGGCUAACUUCGUG